rnacentral:rRNA from 1 species
AUCUUGACCUCAGAUCAGGCAAGGCUACCCGCUGAAUUUAAGCAUAUUAAUAAGCGGAGGAAAAGAAACUAACAAGGAUUCCCUCAGUAACAGCGAGUGAAGCGGGAACAGCUCAAAUUUGAAAUCUCCGGCGCUUGCGUCGGCGAGUUGUAGUUGCGAGAAGCACUUUCUAGGCGGAUCGGUGGUKCYUAAGUUGCUUGGAACAGUACGUCAUAGAGGGUGACAACC